rnacentral:tRNA from 1 species
CUUACCUUAGUUUAAUUGAAGAAUGUUGGUUUUGGGGAUCUUUGGUCUCGUGGAGAGGUUUGG